rnacentral:rRNA from 1 species
CGUGUAGGCGGGAACUGCAAGUCAGAUGUGAAAUACCGAGGCUUAACUUCGGGGCUGCAUCUGAAACUGUAUUUCUUGAGUACCGGAGAGGAAAGUGGAAUUCCCAGUGUAGCGGUGAAAUGCGUAGAUAUUGGGAGGAACACCAGUGGCGAAGGCGACUUUCUGGACGGUAACUGACGCUGAGGCGCGAAAGCGUGGGGAGCAAACA